rnacentral:rRNA from 1 species
GACUACUGGGGUAUCUAAUCCUGUUUGAUACCCACGCUUUCGUGCAUCAGUGUCAGUUGCAUCCCAGUAAGCUGCCUUCGCAAUCGGAGUUCUGUGUUAUAUCUAAGCAUUUCACCGCUACACAACACAUUCCGCCUACCUCAUUUGCACUCAAGACCGACAGUUUCAACGGCAAUUUUACAGUUAAGCUGCAAACUUUCACCGCUGACUUAUCAAUCCACCUACGCACCCUUUAAACCCAAUAAAUCCGGAUAACGCUCGGAUCCUCCGUAUUACCGCGGCUGCUGGCACGGAGUUAGCCGAUCCUUAUUCGUACAGUACAUACAAAAGGUUACACGUAACCCACUUUAUUCCUGCACAAAAGAAGUUUACAAUUCAUAGAACCGUCUUCCUUCACGCGACUUGGCUGGUUCAGACUCUCGUCCAUUGACCAAUAUUCCUCACUGCAGCCCCCCGUAGG